rnacentral:lncRNA from 1 species
UGAAUUCUCUUAAGAUCGCUCUCAAGAGCACAUACUUGUGCUCCUAAUAAGCGAAUGUAACGCAUUGUGUUAAUAAAAUCAAAACCUGGCAUUUAGACUAUAAAAUCUACUCAAGUUCAAGGACCAUCUGUUCGAUAUACUCGUGCCCAUGAAAUUUGAUUAGUAGUUGAAGAAUGUACCUGUCCAUGUUGUUUAGCUAUAUUAAUUGAGGGUUGGAGUACUUGUAUUAUUGGGUGCAAACAAUAUCAUGUUCGAGGCUAUUCACCCGAGCCAUGCUUAGGGUGACAUUUCAUUUGUUAAUCAAUAGGUUCAUGCAAUCAAAAGCCAGUAGGAGUACAAUCGCUCGUGUUCUGCACCAAAAUUUCUUAGUGAUAGAUUGGUUUGCACCGAUUUUCGCCAUUAACAAUGAAGCUUCUCCAGCCAAGACUUUUGCCGUUUUGCAGCUGUCUCAGAGCCACCACGGGUCUCGUCACGUAGUUCCAACCCAGAAGCACCGGAAUCGGGUACACCGGAGGCUUGUUCUUGAAGAUGUCAGAAUUUGUCGUCGGAGCUGUCCUCCUUGUUGCCGUUGAAGCAAUUGCACCGGUGGCAGCCGCCCUUUGCCACUGAUUGCUUGUCGUUGCUCUCCUUGAUGAAGUUCUGACCCAUCUUCAUUCUUCACUAAGGACCGAGCUCAGCCACGCCGCCGACUCCUCCAUCCUUGCCGUACUGAGGAGGAGCUUCGCCCCCCAGUCGCCUUCUCCGACAACGAAAUCCUCGGGACGUCUGGGAACUGCCAGUCAGACAGCCUCCUGAGCCGCACUUCAGGACUGGCUUCCCAGCAUCGCCCGAACGGCCUCCCAAUACUGAUGAACAUCGAUUGGUUGGAUCUCUGGCGGCAUGGCUCCGGCAGCAACUGAUCGAUCGUCUCGUCACUGAUUCCUCCUCUACUGCACAAGCUCAAAAUUCAGUGCAACUCUCUCCUCUGAGCCUCCGUAUCGCCGGAGAGCGAUUGUCGGCCGGUGAGAAUUAGUCAUGUGUGGAAGCCGGGGAUUUAUAUAGGGGGAGUACUUGCUGAGCGGGACCGCUUGAAUUUUUCUGAUCCGUUUAAGUGGUUGCACGCGAGUAUGAGAGUUACGAAAUUAACAUGUCCUUGAGAGUUACGAAAUUAACA